rnacentral:lncRNA from 1 species
GGCGACUCAUUUCUCUAUCCGUUUCCGGCGCCGCAGGGCGGUCUAGGUCUCCGGCGCCGCCACCACAGCCGGCGCCUCCGCCCCCACCCUCGCUCCCUCCACCGCUCCCGCGCCACCUGAGACGCUCCUGCGCCACCUGAGCCGGAGCUCCGCCUUCGUCGCCCCAAGCCCGAGGCGGAGGCCCUUUCUCCCGCCCUCCCCACGCGAUCCAGUCGUCAGCGACCGGCCUGCUUGCCGACUGAUCGAGCAAUUCCGUAGAGCCGAUCGAUGGGGUCUCUGGAGCCUUUCAACCGGUGAGUCCCAGAUCCCCUCCCUUGAAACCCUAGCCGUCGCGGCGGCUUUCUUCGUCUUCUCUGAUCUGAUCUAGCUUGGAUCUGUUCGAUGGUCUGCCCGGGACAGGCUGGUGCGGCUGACGGCGCGCGCCUUCUACGAUGACAUCUCCAUCAAGGGCGACACC